GCGUAAGCUGGAGAUAGAGUGGCACUGUUCGUAUUUCUAUUUUAUUUGGGGUUUUUUGGGAGUGAGAGAGAGAGAGAGAGCAGAUGGAGGCGGCUGCUAGAACUCUCUUCAUGGGUUUGAAUCCUGAGACAACGGGUCGAUAACAACGAAUACACUUUCAUACUAGAGUUCAAUCCUUGCAGAAGACGAGAAUCUUUAAUUAUAUGAGAAAUGUUUCUGAGGAACAUCAUAGAAGUAUCCAUCCAGAACCGCAGAAAAUCCUCAGAGAAUGUCUAUGGAUGAUCAACUCUAUGUUAUAUCAUUGUAACUGUAUAAGUUUAAUCCUUGUUUCCUUUCCUCCUGGUUGAUAUAUAUGAUUUUAGGUAGUAUUUUCUUACGGUUCAGUAAAUACUCUGUUUACCAUUCAUACUUGUAUCUGAAACCCAAAAUUUAGGAGA